rnacentral:tRNA from 1 species
GGGAAAACCCAGAAAGUCCCAAUUUGAGGGACUCAUAAUCCUUUGGUCGUUGGUUCAAGUCCAACACGGCCUACCA